rnacentral:rRNA from 1 species
AUGAUGGGGGUCUUAUGCCUGUGCAGCAGCACUGGCGUGUUUCAGCUAUCCACAGCAAGAACAACCAUGUGGAUGCCAACCGCAGGAACUAGAGCUCAGGGUAUCUACAAACUAAGAGCAUUGAGAAGAGAAACUCUGUUCUGGAUCAAUCUCCUGUACAGAAGUUCCACUCCGCUCUCAAGAUCUUCGAUACUGCACUCCAAUGCCCGCAAUUGCUCCUCUUCGCACAGAACUUUGCUCUUCUGCAAUGUUUUGGAGACAAGAGACCACUUGGGCAUCUCAAUUUGCUUCAACAAGAUGCAGGAUGUGGAUUCGAGAAGUGAAAUGACGGAUGUAUGCCUUGACUUGGCAAGUUGUGUCCUCUCCUCUCUUGAGAACCAACAAGAGCUCUUGGACAGUCAUCUUCAGCUCCAUCAAGGUCUCCUGCAUGGCGUUGCAGAGGUCGAGCACGACGAGGGACCGCCCUAG